rnacentral:rRNA from 1 species
UACGUAGGGUGCGAGCGUUAAUCGGAAUUACUGGGCGUAAAGCGUGCGCAGGCGGUUUUGUAAGCCAGAUGUGAAAUCCCCCGGGCUUAACCUGGGAAUGGCAUUUGGGACUGCAAGGCUUGAGUGCGGCAGAGGAGACUGGAAUUCCCGGUGUAGCAGUGAAAUGCGUAGAUAUCGGGAGGAAUACCGAUGGCGAAGGCAGCCCCCUGGGAUAACACUGACGCUCAUGCACGAAAGCGUGGGGAGCAAACAGG